GUUGCUUCUUUGGUUAGUUCGUGGAACCUUUACACUUUUUUUUGUCUCUUUUUUUUUCCUUUUUCCGCACCCCUUUUUUU
rnacentral:ribozyme from 12 species